rnacentral:hammerhead_ribozyme from 1 species
GCACUGCUGAGGAGUCCUAUAAUAGGACGAAACGGCUGUCUAGUGC